GUGUGAGUAGCUCAGCUGGAUAGAGCAACGGCCUUCUAAGCCGUGGGUCGGGGGUUCGAAUCCCUUCUCGCACA
rnacentral:tRNA from 1 species